rnacentral:rRNA from 1 species
CACGGGGGGAGCAAGCGUUGUUCGGAAUCACUGGGCGUAAAGGGCGUGUAGGCGGUCAGGUAAGUGAGACGUGAAAUGCCCCGGCUUACCCGGGGACCUGCGUCUCAUACUGCUUGGCUUGAGUACGGGAGAGGGUGUGGGAAUUCCUGGUGUAGCGGUGAAAUGCGUAGAUAUCAGGAGGAACACCGGUGGCGAAGGCGCCCACCUGGCCCGAUACUGACGCUGAGGCGCGAAAGCUAGGGGAGCAAACGGG